UCCAGUACCACAUACAAACACAUUCACACAAACAUACUCCAUACAAACACAUGCUUACAUUCAAACAUACUAACAUGGCUCAGUGCUAAAUACAACCCUGCAAGCAUGGGAAAUUGGUAGAGCCCCAGCUGUCAAAGCAUUGUUGGAGUUGCACGACAGAUGGGGUUCUACCUUUAGUCCAACCUUGCAAUUGGGGGUCCCAAUAAAAU